rnacentral:rRNA from 1 species
AUUGAACGCUGGCGGAAUGCUUUACACAUGCAAGUCGAACGGCAGCACGGGGCAACCUGGUGGCGAGUGGCGAACGGGUGAGUAAUAUAUCGGAACGUGCCCAAUCGUGGGGGAUAACGUAGCGAAAGUUACGCUAAUACCGCAUACGAUCUACGGAUGAAAGCGGGGGAUCGCAAGACCUCGCGCGAAUGGAGCGGCCGAUAUCAGAUUAGGUAGUUGGUGGGGUAAAGGCUCACCAAGCCAACGAUCUGUAGCUGGUCUGAGAGGACGACCAGCCACACUGGAACUGAGACACGGUCCAGACUCCUACGGGAGGCAGCAGUGGGAAUUUUGGACAAUGGGGGAACCUGAUCCAGCCAUGCCGCGUGCAGGAUGAAGGCCUUCGGGUUGUAAACUGCUUUGUACGAACGAAAGGUCUUUUCUAAUAAAGAAGGCUGAUGACGGUACCGUAAGAAUAAGCACCGGCUAACUACGUG